UCCAGCAAUGCCGCGUGUGUGAAGAAGGCCUUCGGGUUGUAAAGCACUUUUGUCCGGAAAGAAAUCGCGCUGGCUAAUACCUGGCGUGGAUGACGGUACCGGAAGAAUAAGCACCGGCUAACUACGUGCCAGCAGCCGCGGUAAUACGUAGGGUGCGAGCGUUAAUCGGAAUUACUGGGCGUAAAGCGUGCGCAGGCGGUUUUGUAAGACAGGCGUGAAAUCCCCGGGCUUAACCUGGGAAUGGCGCUUGUGACUGCAAGGCUAGAGUGCGUCAGAGGGGGGUAGAAUUCCACGUGUAGCAGUGAAAUGCGUAGAGAUGUGGAGGAAUACCGAUGGCGAAGGCAGCCCCCUGGGACGAGACUGACGCUCAUGCACGAAAGCGUGGGGAGCAAACAGGAUUAGAUACCCUGGUAGUCCACGCCCUAAACGAUGUCAACUAGUUGUUGGGGAUUCAUUUCCUCAGUAACGUAGCUAACGCGUGAAGUUGACCGCCUGGGGAGUACGGUCGCAAGAUUAAAACUCAAAGGAAUUGACGGGGACCCGCACAAGCGGUGGAUGAUGUGGAUUAAUUCGAUGCAACGCGAAAAACCUUACCUACCCUUGACAUGCCACUAACGAAGCAGAGAUGCAUCAGGUGCCCGAAAGGGAAAG
rnacentral:rRNA from 1 species